rnacentral:rRNA from 1 species
GGCUGCGAUCAUAGAAACAUUAAUGCAAUGGAUCCCAUCAGAACUCCGCAGUUAAGCGCGCUUAGGCUAGAGUAGUACUAGGAUCGGUGACCUCCCAGGAAGUCCUAGUGUUGCACCCU